GCCUGGGUGGCUCAGUCGGUUAAGCGUCUGAUUUCAGCUCAGGUCAUGAUCUCACGGUUUGUGGGUUUGAGCCCCAUGUCAGGUU
rnacentral:tRNA from 1 species